CAAAAAGCAUGGUAAAUGGACAAAACCAACACACGCGACUCACCUUACAACGUAGCGCAGUGGAAUAACGCAAUAGCUAUGCAAACGUUAUACCAACAGAGCAAAAACAUUGUAAGAAUACACAUGCCCGACACAACGGAUGGUUGCAAAGAAAUCGAGAGUGAAACCGCAUCGAUUACAAACAGGUUUUGAAGGAGCAAACCCGAAAGCAAGAGAAAAAUAUAUAUUUAAAAAAAAGACAUUUUCCCAUAGCUAUGUGUUAUGCCAUAUUGAAGAGUAGAAAAUGGGAAAGAAAUAGCAUUUCUAAUAAAGAAAGAAACCUGUCUUUGCUUGCUUUCACUUCGAUACAAAUGUUUUAUUAUGUCUUUGUACAUUAUGCAUCCUUCGAGCCAUCAAACCAAAAUCCAGAACAUUACACAAAACUUACCCCUUGUCGGCACCGUUGAGAAUCAAGUUUUGACCCAUGACGGCCAAACCGAUGAGACCAAAAUCUUUGGCAAAAAGUUAAUAAACCAGACCGCUAUAAAAAAUUCCUAACAGCAUCCCCAACUCAGCUCGGCUCUUCUCGAAAGAAAAAAAAAUAAAAAGAGAUAAAGAGAGGAAAAGGGAAACACGAAAUUCCAAGAUGGAAAAUAUCUAUAUUCUUUUUCACAUACCGGCACUAAAGGGGAAAAUGUUAGUAAGACAAGGCGUCUCAAAUGAAGGAGCGAAUUUCUACUUACACUUCUUUUUGUGACAUGAUUCUUCUUUUCGUAGUGUGGUUAAUGAAUGUUUGGUUAUGUGUUGGUUGGUGUGGGACGUAGAUUCGCUCCUUAUAUUUCUUCAGCUCACCCAAGUUCGCUUACGUCAUUAGCAACAGUUAUAUCCUUCGAGAAUAGAUCGAUUUUAGUUAGCGGGGCCGGUUGCAUCAUGUGCAUCGUUUUGCUACGUAUUGCUACGAGGGGUUAAGGAAACAGAGCACACUAAAAACUAUAAUGAUAAACGGAAUAGCGAUGGGCAGCGUUAAGGUAAAAGAGACAGAAAGGCAAAGGUGGAGUGGGAUAGGCGGUAAGGAGGUGGUAGGUAGGACGAGUUGUGGUGAUAGACAUUGUGUAAGUAUUUCUGCAUUUUUAUUUUCAUUUCUCAUGUCUUUUGU